rnacentral:misc_RNA from 1 species
GGAAGUAAAAGCCAUAACAAGGUUUCCGUAGGUGAACCUGCGGAAGGAUCAUUAUUGUAUAACCGAGGUGCGAGGGCUGUCGCUGACCCGAAAGGUCGUGCACGCCCGAGUGCCCUCACACACAUCCAUCUCACCCCUAUGUGCACCACCGCGUGGGUCCCCCUUUGGCUUGUUCGGAGGGGGGCUUACGUUUUCACACAAACUUUGUAUGCAGUGUAGAAUGUAUUUUUUGUUUUUGCGAUCACGCAAUCAAUACAACUUUCAACAACGGAUCUCUUGGCUCUC